rnacentral:rRNA from 1 species
GGGUGACUGCGUACCUUUUGUAUAAUGGGUCAGCGACUUAUAUUCUGUAGCAAGGUUAACCGUAUAGGGGAGCCGCAGGGAAACCGAGUCUUAACUGGGCGUUAAGUUGCAGGGUAUAGACCCGAAACCCGGUGAUCUAGCCAUGGGCAGGUUGAAGGUUGGGUAACACUAACUGGAGGACCGAACCGACUAAUGUUGAAAAAUUAGCGGAUGACUUGUGGCUGGGGGUGAAAGGCCAAUCAAACCGGGAGAUAGCUGGUUCUCCCCGAAAGCUAUUUAGGUAGCGCCUCGUGAA